AGAGUUUGAUCCUGGCUCAGAUUGAACGCUGGCGGCAGGCCUAACACAUGCAAGUCGAGCGGUAGAGAGGAGCUUGCUUCUCUUGAGAGCGGCGGACGGGUGAGUAAUGCCUAGGAAUCUGCCUAGUGGUGGGGGAUAACGUUCGGAAACGGACGCUAAUACCGCAUACGUCCUACGGGAGAAAGCGGGGGAUCUUCGGACCUCGCGCCAUUAGAUGAGCCUAGGUCGGAUUAGCUAGUUGGUGAGGUAAUGGCUCACCAAGGCGACGAUCCGUAACUGGUCUGAGAGGAUGAUCAGUCACACUGGAACUGAGACACGGUCCAGACUCCUACGGGAGGCAGCAGUGGGGAAUAUUGGACAAUGGGCGAAAGCCUGAUCCAGCCAUGCCGCGUGUGUGAAGAAGGUCUUCGGAUUGUAAAGCACUUUAAGUUGGGAGGAAGGGUUGUAGAUUAAUACUCUGCAAUUUUGACGUUACCGACAGAAUAAGCACCGGCUAACUUCGUGCCAGCAGCCGCGGUAAUACGAAGGGUGCAAGCGUUAAUCGGAAUUACUGGGCGUAAAGCGCGCGUAGGUGGUUCGUUAAGUUGGAUGUGAAAGCCCCGGGCUCAACCUGGGAACUGCAUCCAAAACUGGCGAGCUAGAGUACGGUAGAGGGUGGUGGAAUUUCCUGUGUAGCGGUGAAAUGCGUAGAUAUAGGAAGGAACACCAGUGGCGAAGGCGACCACCUGGACUGAUACUGACACUGAGGUGCGAAAGCGUGGGGAGCAAACAGGA
rnacentral:rRNA from 1 species